rnacentral:rRNA from 1 species
AUUGAACGCUGGCGGCAUGCCUUACACAUGCAAGUCGAACGGCAGCACGGGAGCAAUCCUGGUGGCGAGUGGCGAACGGGUGAGUAAUACAUCGGAACGUGCCCAAUCGUGGGGGAUAACGCAGCGAAAGCUGUGCUAAUACCGCAUACGAUCUACGGAUGAAAGCAGGGGACCGCAAGGCCUUGCGCGAAUGGAGCGGCCGAUGGCAGAUUAGGUAGUUGGUGGGGUAAAGGCGCACCAAGCCAACGAUCUGUAGCUGGUCUGAGAGGACGACCAGCCACACUGGGACUGAGACACGGCCCAGACGCCUACGGGAGGCAGCAGUGGGGAAUUUUGGGCAAUGGGCGCAAGCCUGAUCCAGCCAUGCCGCGUGCAGGAUGAAGGCCUUCGGGUUGUAAACUGCUUUUGUACGGAACGAAACGGCCUUUUCUAAUAAAGAGGGCUAAUGACGGUACCGUAAGAAUAAGCACCGGCUAACUACGUGCCAGCCGCCGCAGUAAAAC